GACGAACGCUGGCGGCGUGCUUAACACAUGCAAGUCGAACGGAAAGGCCCUGCUUUUGUGGGGUUCUCGAGUGGCGGACGGGUGAGUAACACGUGAGUAACCUGCCCUUGACUGUGGGAUAACUUCAGGAAACUGGGGCUAAUACCGGAUAGGAGCUCCUGCUGCAUGGUGGGGGUUGGAAAGUUUCGGCGGUUGUGGAUGGACUCUGGGGUAAUGAGCUUGUUGGUGGGGUAGUGGCUUACCAAGGCAUUGACGGGUAGCCAGCCUGAGAGGGUGGCCGGGCUCCUGGGGACUGAGAUAGGGACCAGAGUCGUACAGGAGGCAGCAGUCGGAAAUAUGGCCCAGUGAUGGGGAGCCUGAGGCAGAAGCGCCCCGUGCGGAAAGACCGCCUUCGGGUUGUGAACCGCUUUCGCCUGAUACGAAGCGGGAGUGACGGUAAUGGGUAAAGAAGCACCGGCUAACUACGUG
rnacentral:rRNA from 1 species